CUAAGGAUAAAUCACUAAGAGUGAACUAAGAGUGACGCGCCGUUGCUAUGGAUGACGUUGAUUCUCGUGCACGAGUUUAGAAGCGGUCAGUGCGGUGAUUGGUUGUUCAGACGAGCCCACUAAAUUACCGAAAAACAAGGAAAUAGACUAGGCUAGAAAUGAAUUCCUAUGAAGUAGUUAUGGACAGUGCAGUUAGCAGAAUACACGCAUGAUGACAAGUUUGUGCAGACCACGAUAAUGACGUUGUAGCCUGCACGUUCAAGAGAGAGAGAGAAAGCAAACAAUAAAAAUACGUAAAUUGCUUUCAAUCAAGGAGGCAAUUAAAAGCACCCUGCAAAAUACUAUCCAAUGAGCAUUUUUCAGCACUUAAAACACUUUAAAUAACAGCCCAUACCGCCGUUCAAGUCCCCCUAUCAUGAUGGAUGUUGAAAACGUGAAACGCAAGCGAAAGGCCAAUUGGUCCCAGGACCAAUUGUUACUACUUGCCCAGUUUGUGCUGGAGCGGAGGGGGGUAAUAAAGGGUAGAUUCGGGGCUGGAGUGACCAGUAAGAAGAAGCGGGAGGCAUGGGAAGAAAUAUGCGUAAACAUAAAUGCUUCCUUCCCUGCUGUUUGUCGCUCUACCGACGAUUGCGAAAGACGUUGGUAUGCCCUGCAAUCACAGUGUAGGUUUGAGAUUGCCGACUAUAAAAGAGCUGUUGCGGCUACAGGUAAGUCCAUUAUUAUCAUUGCUUGCAUUCAUUUGGGAAAUGCAUUUGCAUGUCUUAAAUUUACAAUUAACAAAGGCUACAGUGAUAUGAAACGUGAAUGAAACUGAAAUUUAAUUUGUUGGAGGAGGAUCUGCACCAAAGCCGUUGUCCCCGGUCGCAUCGGUGGUGUACGCCGUCCUAGGCUCGGACGCAAGCAUUACUGGCCUUCAGGGUGCAGCUGAUCCUGCAGUCGAGUUGCUAAAGGAGAUUGAGGGGAGAAAUGAAGAUGAAAGUCCAGCUGCAGCAUCACAUCACACAGCUCUUCCUCUUCUCCCCCUCCUAGCCCUUCCUCUGCCAGCUCUUCCUCUUCCAGCAGCACCUCCUCUCACAGCUCUUCCUCUCCCAGCUGCACCUCCUCUCACAGCUCUUCCUCUUCCACCCCUUUCUCUUCCAACUCUCCCUCUUGGUGCACCCACUGGCUCUCCUCUCCCUCCUGCUGCUGGUACCAGUUCACUGUACGAGAAGAAAUUGAGGAUGGAAAUGAGGGUUUUAAAAAGGCAAAGAAAGGUCCUCAAAGCGAAAGAGUGGCUAAUAAAAAUGAAGACAGAAUAUUACAGUCUUAAGAUCGAAAAGUUGAAAAAUUGAAAAAAUAAAUGUUAUGAACUACA